rnacentral:tRNA from 1 species
GGUGGGUUGCUCCGAAUUGGUAAGGAACUGGUUUUGAAAACCAGCGCCCCGCAAGGGGCUUGCAGGUUCAAGUCCUGCACCCACCG